rnacentral:lncRNA from 1 species
CUCUGGCUGCAGAGGUCAAAAGCUGAUGAACCUGGAGGAGAAGGAUGGGCCGGGCAGAUCUCACCACUGUGAAUGAAUUUGUCCAGAUUUUUUUAAUCUAAAGUUGCUUCCCUUGGAAAGAUACACUUGAGAGGACAUCUUAGUUAAAUAAUGUGAAUUGUAACAGUCUACUGGUUUAUUUUUCGUAUUUUUUAAUUGCAAAUUGAGCUUGCAGAAAUUGCCACAUUCUGCAUAUAGUUUUAAUUUUAACUCCAAAUCCAGAAUCUGUAUUUAAUUUCAGCUUUUUUAACCUCAAGCUUUUUAAAUUUUAUUUAUUGAUGCAUGUGAGAUAGGCCAUGAUGAUUUUAGAUGGUAGGAAUAUUAAAAACUACACAUCAAAAUGAUAUAAACAGUCACUUGUACCUGCUGACUUUAUAGGAAAACUGAUUAUAUAAAUGUGUGUAUAUGUGUUAUAUACAUAGAUUCAGUACUGCCUUUUGUUUGGGUUUUUUUUUGUUUUGUUCUGUCUUUCUGUUUUUGUCCACAAUAUCAAAAUUGACUAGUUGAAGCAUGAGGAUGUUUCCCCCUACACCUAGUUAAGAGUUUUUGUUUUCUUCAUAUAAUCAGUGAACAGUGUAAGACUCAGUCUCUGUUUUUGAAGAAAAAGCAAUAUUCCUUGGAAAGCAAGGAGAAUUGAAGGAUUACGUUGGCAGUAAGGGAAUAGAUUUUCACAGCUGGUUUGUCUUAUAUUUUUAAGGUUGACAUCUAUGUGGGCCUUAUAUACUCUAAAAUGAACCUUAGACACCUUGGUGCUUAUGGGCCAUUACUUGACCUAUGAAUCUUUAAGGCACAAUCAGUUGUACUUUACAUUUAAAGAUCACUUGAGUGAUGGCCGCCUUUCCCGCCUACCUUCCUUCCUUCCCCACACACCUUUCCAAGGUUAGCUGAUAACUGUAGGGCUGCAGAGCUGAGCCCCAGACUGUGUGUAACCUUUUACCCUCCUUGUCACCUUCGGUCAUGUUAGGAGCUUCGCCCUCCAGGUGAUUCGGAAGUGGAGUCUCUUGGCAGCCCUCACGCAGGUUCCGGCACCCUGUCCUGCUUCUUAACCAAGUGUGUGUGACUCUCCAAGAGAGUCGUACUGCCUGCUGACAUGAACCAGUACCCAGAGAGGCACCUGUGAGCCAUCCUAGUUUUCACUCACUGUCUAGCUAAGCUCUUAAGCCACAGAAGGGUUUCUCCAACCUCUGGUUAUAUCAGAGUUCGUGAGAAAGGAAACACACUCACUCAAACCAAAUCAAACCAAUUGCAUUUUACUUUUCAUAAUGAGCUUCUGAGAGCAAAUUAAGAUUUGAAAGAAGUCUGAAUCAAAGUAUUUGACAGCAUUAAUUCUUAAAGGGAAUGGCUUUGAUAGACCAUUUCAGAAAGGGUUUAUAAAGAAUCUGGAUGGCAGGUCUGUGACAGAGAAGUGGACCUACUUUGAGACCAAACUACCCAGCCAAACAUGUGGACACAGACAGUACUCUGAACUUGAUAUACUUGCUGGAGAAUGUAAAAAUCUGUGCUUCUUUUAGGAAACACUUUCCCCCGUAAAUGGGGUAAGAGAAGAGAGAAAAGUCAAGUUUUUCUCUCAUUUUAAUUGUGUGUGUGUGAGGGCUGAGGUUCGUGAUUUUUCUUUCUCAAGGAUCAUGGUGGGAUCACAGAACUCUUUUAUACAAGUGGGAUCCAGGUCUCUGAAUAAUGUUUUUUGUAAAUAAUAAUAAUAAAAGCUCCUCACCAAAUUCAAGCUUGUACAUUAUAUUUUCUUUCAAUGUUUUUAAAUUUAAGUUCUAUUGUUUUGUAUGUAAAUAUGUGGACCCAGGAACUGUUAUUAAUGAGCAAAAAGUUACUGUUCAGGGCAGUGAUUCUGUUUAAUAAUCAGACAAAUUGUAGACGAGCUUUUUAAAGCCAUAUAGUUUUAACUCUGUACAGUAGGUACCGGCCUGUAUUAUUGUAACAAUAACUCUAGCAAUGUAUAGUGUAUCUAUAUAGUUUGGAGUGCCUUCGCUUCCAUGUGUUUGUUUUUUUGUUUCCGUUUUUCAUUUUGCAGAUAUUAAUUGGUCUCGAUAUCCAUGUCUCCCUGUCCCACCCCCUUCCCUUUGAAAUAGUGGCUCACUCAUAACAGUGUCUUUGCCCCUUCCACAGUUAACCAUGCUCAGGAGUGGAAAGAGGAAACCAUAAUCAUUUUCUUAAUCUCAUUUCAUUCAAGCCCUACCUUUGUUUUGGUUCUGAACAUCUGUUUCCUCCUCAGUAGCAGUGACCAGUUCCAUUUCAUCCAGGGACUUAGUGUAGUGCCAGGGAGCCCUCUAGCCGGAGAAUAUGGAAUAGAGUAGAUUUUGCUCGUCUCUUCCCCCAAACCCUAACCAUGGGUCUUACAGACAGCAGAUUCCGGGAGCCUUCUGCCCUCUCUCUCUCUCUCUCCGUUUCAUCUACUUCCCUCCCAAAUGAGAGAAAAAAGAGAGAGAGAGAAUUGGUUUUUGUAAAUCGAUGUUUCUUAAUACUUGUAUCAGUUUUGAUACACGAGUGGUCUAAAAUGCUGUGGUGCAAUUACUAGUGGCCGCUGCACGAUUGCCGCCCACGCGGUGGGGACUUGUUUUCACAAGGGAACUUUCCUCCCUCCUGUCACCUCUACCCCUGUUCAAUGAAAUGUCAUUUUAAUUUAUCUUUUUAAAAAAUCUGUUUCUUACUGUGUGCCCAUCAUGAAGGCCUUUUUCGAAAGAAAAAAAAAAAAAUCAAAAUUACUUGUUUUGCCUCCAAGUACUCCAUACAAGAUGUCUCAAGUAGAAGAAGAAGAAAAAAAAAAAACUUUACCAAACCAAAGCUUGCUAUUUUUGAAAUAUCAUGUGUUCAUUCCAGCAAGGCAGAAGACUGCACCUUCUUUCCAGCAACGUGUUGUGUCCUUUUUUUCAAGUCCUCUUAAUUUUUAGACACAUAUUUUUUGUGUUUUAACAAAGCCUGCCUAACCAGUCAUCUUGUCUGCACCAAUGCAAAGGUUUCUAAGAGGACUAUUGUAUUCUCUAUCCCUGUGGAUAUAAAGACACUGGCAUUUCAUUUCUUUUUCCCUUUCCUUUUUAAGGGAUUUAACUUUGGAAUCUUCCAAAGGAAGUUUGGCCAAUGCCAGAUCCCCAGGAGCUUGGGGGUUUUUGUUUUAAACCAAAAUUGUAUCUGAUUUCUCAUUCAUGUUAGUUGAUCAUCUAAUCACAGAGUCAAACACUUUCUCUCUUAUAUCCCUUAUAUAGAAAAAUAAACUAAGUAUGCUUUACAGUAAAAUCUGUCUUUUCUGGUAGAAACCUGAGCCACUGAAAAUAAGACAACUAGAAGCAGAGUAGAGCCCCAGACUAAGGUCUGUGUUUGAGAGGCUUUGGAAGUAAUCUCUGGGGUUUGGAUUAUUUUCACAAGGGUUAUGACGUUUUAUUCAAGUUUGUUGCUCCAUUUGCACCUCUGCAAUAAAAGCAAAAUGACAACCAGUACAUAAGGGGUUAACUUGACAAAGUAGACUUCCUUGUGUUGAUUUUUAAGUUUUUUUUUUCUUACUAUAUCUGUCUACAGGCAGAUACAGAUAGAUGUAUGAAAAUGUGCUUGCCUGUAAAAUUUGCAUUCAUAAAUGUGUUGCCGAUGGAUCACUUGGGCCUGUAAACAUACCAAUUAGCGUGACCACUUCCAUCUUAAAAUCAAAUCUAAAAAACAAAAUUUAUUAUUCGUUCUAUGUGACUUGGUUUGGAAAUAGUUAACUGGUACUGUAAUUUGCAUUAAAUAAAAAGUAGGUUAGCCUGGAAAUGAAAU